rnacentral:ncRNA from 17 species
AUAUUUUCUGGCGAUGGGGCUCGCCUUAAUUUUGCUGAAAAAGCUGAUAGCUCCUACCCGUAA